rnacentral:tRNA from 1 species
AGCCUUUUAGUAUAUGUUUGUAUGCCCGACUUCCAAUCGGGAGGAUUUUGAAGGUUA